rnacentral:rRNA from 1 species
GAUGAACGCUGGCGGCGUGCCUAAUACAUGCAAGUCGAGCGAACGGACGAGAAGCUUGCUUCUCUGAUGUUAGCGGCGGACGGGUGAGUAACUCGUGGAUAACCUACCUAUAAGACUGGGAUAACUUCGGGAAACCGGAGCUAAUACCGGAUGAUAUUUUGAACCGCAUGGUUCAAAAGUGAAGGACGGUCUUGCUGUCACUUAUAGAUGGAUCCGCGCUGCAUUAGCUAGUUGGUAAGGUAACGGCUUACCAAGGCAACGAUGCAUAGCCGACCUGAGAGGGUGAUCGGCCACACUGGAACUGAGACACGGUCCAGACUCCUACGGGAGGCAGCAGUAGGGAAUCUUCCGCAAUGGGCGAAAGCCUGACGGAGCAACGCCGCGUGAGUGAUGAAGGUCUUCGGAUCGUAAAACUCUGUUAUUAGGGAAGAACAUAUGUGUAAGUAACUGUGCACAUCUUGACGGUACCUAAUCAGAAAGCCACGGCUAACUACGUG